rnacentral:lncRNA from 1 species
AUAUAACUCGUAUACUUGAUCACACCUCGUUACUAUUGAUUGCAUGUUCUAUUUUCUCUAAAGAAAUUUGUUCAUGGAGAUUUCCUACACUCAAGCUAGGACUCAACUGUUAGCUGAUGAGAAACAAUCUGGCGGAGAUAACCCUGCAUCUAGAGUCCUGAUAUGAACCUAACUUAGAGGGCUAUGUUUAUUAGAUAAUCAAAAUACCUAGUCU